rnacentral:lncRNA from 1 species
UGAGAUAAAAUAGCAAAAUAAACUAACAUUUGUUAGUUGCUGGGAGCCAUUAGCCAAGUAGGUAUGACAAUUUCCUUGCCAGCGUACCCCAUGUUGCUGACAUGUUGCAGUGACAUUGAAUGUAGGUGACCUUGCUCAAGGACCAAGGCGGAUUAGGGCGUUCCCGGUUUAGGUUCCAGGUUUAAGGUUUAAGAUUAUUCCUGCUGGGAAUAGGGCGUAUCCUGCUGCCUGAGUUCCCCUUGAGUUCUCACGGGAUUCAGACAGUAUAUUUUGGAGAUAGAAGCCCAGUGGAGGUG